rnacentral:rRNA from 1 species
GGACAGAUGGGAGCUUGCUCCCUGAUGUUAGCGGCGGACGGGUGAGUAACACGUGGGUAACCUGCCUGUAAGACUGGGAUAACUCCGGGAAACCGGGGCUAAUACCGGAUGCUUGAUUGAACCGCAUGGUUCAAUUAUAAAAGGUGGCUUUUAGCUACCACUUACAGAUGGACCCGCGGCGCAUUAGCUAGUUGGUGAGGUAACGGCUCACCAAGGCAACGAUGCGUAGCCAACCUGAAAGGGUGAUCGGCCACACUGGGACUGAAACACGGCCCAAACUCCUACGGGAGGCAGCAGUAGGGAAUCUUCCGCAAUGGACGAAAGUCUGACGGAGCAACCCCCCGUGAGUGAUGAAGGUUUUCGGAUCGUAAAACUCUGUUGUUAGGGAAAAACAAGUACCGUUCGAAUAGGGCGGUACCUUGACGGUACCUAACCAAAAAGCCACGGCUAACUACUUGCCAGCAGCCGCGGUAAUACGUAGGUGGCAAGCGUUGUCCGGAAUUAUUGGGCGUAAAGCGCGCGCAGGCGGUUUCUUAAGUCUGAUGUGAAAGCCCCCGGCUCAACCGGGGAGGGUCAUUGGAAACUGGGGAACUUGAGUGCAGAAAAGGAGAGUGGAAUUCCACGUGUAGCGGUGAAAUGCGUAGAGAUGUGGAGGAACACCAGUGGCGAAGGCGACUCUCUGGUCUGUAACUGACGCUGAGGCGCGAAAGCGUGGGGAGCGAACAGGAUUAGAUACCCUGGUAGUCCACGCCGUAAACGAUGAGUGCUAAGUGUUAGAGGGUUUCCGCCCUUUAGUGCUGCAGCAAACGCAU